CCUACGGGAGGCAGCAGUGAGGAAUAUUGGUCAAUGGGCGCGAGCCUGAACCAGCCAAGCAGCGUGCAGGAAGACUGCUCUAUGAGUUGUAAACUUCUUUUAUAAAGGGAUAAACUCAGAUACGCGUGUCUUUCUGUAUGUAUUUUAUGAAUAAGGAUCGGCUAACUCCGUGCCAGCAGCCGCGGUAAUACGGAGGAUUCGAGCGUUAUCCGGAUUUAUUGGGUUUAAAGGGAGCGUAGAUGGGUGGUUAAGUCAGUGGUGAAAUCUUGAGGCUCAACUGUAGAAUUGCAAUUGAUACUGUUAGGCUAGAGUACAGUUGAGGUAGGCGGAAUGCAUGGUGUAGCGGUGAAAUGCUUAGAGAUCACGCAGAACUCCGAUUGCGAAGGCAGCUUACUAAGCUGCCUCUGACGUUGAGGCACGAAAGUGUGGGUAUCAAACAGGAUUAGAUACCCUAGUAGUC
rnacentral:rRNA from 1 species